UGAUUAUGGACAUGAUCAUAAACUGUGAACAAUCUCUGAACGAAUCUUUUUUUGGUCAUAUGGAUGGUAUAUUGAGCUUUGUGUACAUCCUAUGGGCUUCAGUUGGUUUU
rnacentral:sRNA from 1 species